rnacentral:lncRNA from 1 species
AGAGUACACACAAGGAGUAGAUGACUCCCUUUUCGUGUCAGAAAUUUGUUCAGAAGAGGAACAACAACAAUGGUUGACCAAUAAAAGGAGCAAAAGGAGCGCACAAUAAUUGAUUAUGCUACUCUAUCUCUUAGUAGAAUUGAAUCAAGUGUCAUAAGGCUAGCUGUAAUAGCUAACAACUUUGAGAUUAAGCCAGCCAUC